UAACAUAUCGGAACUUUACCGAGCAGUGGGGGAUAACUGAUGAAAGAUUAGCUAUACCGCAUAUAUUAUGAGGAAGAAAGCAGGGGACCAUUUGGCCUUGCGCUGUUUGAGCGGCCGAUAUCUGAUUAGCUAGUUGGUGGGGUAAAGGCCUACCAAGGCGACGAUCAGUAGCGGGUCUGAGAGGAUGAUCCGCCACACUGGGAUGAGACACGGCCCAGACUCCUACGGGAGGCAGCAGUGGGGAAUUUUGGACAAUGGGCGCAAGCCUGAUCCAGCCAUGCCGCGUGUCUGAAGAAGGCCUUCGGGUUGUAAAGGACUUUUGUCAGGGAAGAAAAGGGUGGG
rnacentral:rRNA from 1 species